rnacentral:tRNA from 1 species
AGGGCUGUAGUUAAAUAUAACAUUUGGUUUGCAUCCAAAAAGUACUGUAAGGUCUGCCUUA